rnacentral:snRNA from 1 species
AUACUUACCUGGCAGGGGAGAUACCAUGAUCACGAAGGUGGUUUUCCCAGGGCGAGGCUUAUCCAUUGCACUCCAGAUGUGCUGACCCCUGCGAUUCCCCCAAAUGUGGGAAACUAGACUGCAUAAUUUGUGGUAGUGGGGGACUGCGUUUGUGCUCUCCCCUA